rnacentral:hammerhead_ribozyme from 1 species
AUCCAUCUGACGAAUCCCAAAUGGGACGAGACUCAUGUCGUGGAU